UGAUUAGCUUUACUGCUGCUUCUUCGUGUCCGUCCAAGUCCAAGGAGGAGAGGGCUUUGCUUCAACUCGACUGAACCUUACCCAAAAGCAAUCAUACCUGAAGCCGCAAUCGGAAAGCUCUAAACUUGACUGCACCCAGACCUUCUACUGUAAAGCACCAGAGCAAUGUUAUCCUCUUCUUCUCCUCCAAGCUCUCAUCUUUUGUUGACUCACUCUUCUCAUUGUUUUAAGACUCCCAACCUUUCUCAUCAUCAGUGUAAGCAGCAGAAAAGAUGGACCCAUGGGUCACAGAGAGCUUCUAGAGUUGUUGCUUACUAUGGCUUGAAGGAACCACCUUAUAAACUUGAUGCUUUGGAACCCUAUAUGAGUCAGAGGACAUUGGAGGUUCACUGGGGAGGCCAUCAUC